rnacentral:rRNA from 1 species
GACGAACGCUGGCGGCAUGCCUUACACAUGCAAGUCGAACGGUAACAGGUUAAGCUGACGAGUGGCGAACGGGUGAGUAAUAUAUCGGAACGUGCCCAGUCGUGGGGGAUAACUGCUCGAAAGAGCAGCUAAUACCGCAUACGACCUGAGGGUGAAAGCGGGGGAUCGCAAGACCUCGCGCGAUUGGAGCGGCCGAUCUCAGAUUAGGUAGUUGGUGGGGUAAAAGCCCACCAAGCCAACGAUCUGUAGCUGGUCUGAGAGGGCGACCAGCCACACUGGGACUGAGACCCUGCCCAGACUCCGACGGGAGGCAGCAGUGGGGAAUUUUGGACAAUGGACGCAAGUCUGAUCCAGCCAUGCCGCGUGCGGGAAGAAGGCCUUCGGGUUGUAAACCGCUUUUGUCAGGGAAGAAACGCUCUGGGUUAAUACCUCGGGGUGAUGACGGUACCUGAAGAAUAAGCACCGGCUAACUACGUGCCAGCAGCCGCGGUAA